rnacentral:rRNA from 1 species
AUGGGCCCUCUUGAGGCAGACCCACAUGUCAUUGGUGUAACUAUUUACACUCCGAAGGACGCUUGCGCGUACCAUAUCCCCCCACUCACUGCUCGGCCACACGAGGAGAAGCGUCUUCGCUCACCCACCCGAAUCAACUUCCCCGCUGGCUCGCAGGCACCGAACACCCCAAUUGCAGAACCGACUGACACGCAGAGACGCGAUUGGAAUUCCCUCCAAAGUGUUCUCUUGGAGCAGAUCUGUAAUCGUAUGGACCUACUCAGCAUUGUCCGUCUGGCCGCAAGCUCGGUGUCUUUGUACCGUCUACUCGUCUACAAUCGGCGGGCUCUUUUCAAGACACCCUGCUUGAUGAUACCCUAUCACCGUAGGUGGCCCAAACAUCAACUUGACGAUCCUACGGAGGUUGCCGUGGUGCCCCUCGACAUGCUACCACUACCUGUCCACCUGUACUUCAUGCGCGGCCACUACUGGGCGGGCAUGAAGGCCAACUGGAUCGUCCUCAUCCACCAAUCUGUAGACACAAAUGCGCUGGCCUUCAUGAUUCCAGGACCUGGAAUCAUACCAACCAAUGGGUGGUGGUUUAUCUCUCGUUUAGCUGACGGUGGUCAUUUGAUGCUCAUUCGCACGUACCAAAUUGACCAAACCAUUACAUCAAACCACAUGCAGUACAAUGCAUGGGGCGUUCAUGACAUUGAUGGCUAUGGCUGCUUCAUGUUCGAGAAAGAUCCCAGCUCUGUUGGGCCAGGCGUAUUCAACUGGAGGCGGGUUUACAGCCUCGGCAACCACUCCAUGUUCCUUGGGCUCAGUUAUCCGAUCAUCCAACCAAUCAUCGAUCAUAUCACCGGCGAUGAUUAA